UCUGUUUGUCAUUUGUGAGAGAAAAUUGGACAAAGUAUCUUCAAUUCAGGAUUGUUUGUGUGCAGGUCAUUGGGCUGCUCACCCUUUGCAGUCCAUGGCCCGUGACGUGCUCUCGGCCACCUCUGUAAUCUCUAGCUGGAUAACAGAAGCCUUCCAGGUCCAGCUGGCCCGGAGAUGGAGCGAGGGAUGUCUUCAUAGAUCCCUGGGAUGCAUUCAAAAAUGCAGUCUUUCUUUCAGCAAUGCCUCCUUUCAGACUUUCUUUCCUGGCACACUUUUCCUAUAACCUGCCUUAUCUACACUCUUUGCGAGCUUUUUUACAGACGACCAUCUAUUUUUUUGUGCUGUCUGGUGCCGGAUAUGAGUACUGUUUGUUGGCCCUUUGAUCACAGCGUAGUAAAGAUAGUAGCAAUAAUCUCAUGGUUUAAAGAGGCAGCUUGCCUGAAUUUAUUGUCGUGGUAUAAAAUCUGUUAAAAGAUCACUUUUUGCAUUGAACGCAACCUUGUGAGUUGAGAGCCGUUUAACGGCUCAAAGACAGUUGUGUUUUCCAUGGUUGUUUCACAUUUUUUACAUAGAACUAAAAAUGGAUGGUUGUAAUAUGCAAUGUGCUUAGCUACGUGGUGGUCGUGUGCCGUUACCAUCUCACAAACACCUUUGGCUGCUGAAAGCCUUCCUCCCUCUGCCUCUGGUUUUGCAUUUUCACCAUAGCCAGGAGUCACCACCAGCACAGCUCUGCCAGAGAGCUGUAUCCAGGGGAGUAAAGGCACACUCCUCUGCUUCAGGCAGGUUCUGCCGGGGCAGUUCAAACAGCUGGCAAAGGACUAACCAGUGCACUUUGUCUCGGGCAGAUGAGGAAAACAGCAGCACAACGCCAAUUUAUGGAGCUACGGGAAGAGCCCUGAUUUCUGGGAAUGCCCAUUCCAGAUGCCUGGCAUCUUUAGCCUGCAGAGCCAGGUCUGGAAGAGGGUGUUUACCGGCAGCCUCUAAAAUAAUGACUGUUUUCUGAGGCUACCAUCACGCGGUCCUUGUAGCAAUGGCUUUGUGGCACUUGAAGAUGUCCAUUCCCACCCGUAAACUGGAAAUUACCCUCUUCCUGGUACAGCUCAGAUGUCAGAAUAAAUAAUCUGGGCCCUCCUUGUGUUUCA
rnacentral:lncRNA from 1 species